CUCAAGAAAAGCAUGUCAUAUACUGCAGUCGUACCGAGUGUCAUCGCUGUGAAUGAUCGGUGCUUGCACCGAGAUUCAAUAAGCAAACGAGUGGCGGACGGGUGAGUAACACGUGGGUAACCUGCCCUUAAGUGGGGGAUAACAUUUGGAAACAGAUGCUAAUACCGCAUAGAUCCAAGAACCGCAUGGUUCUUGGCUGAAAGAUGGCGUAAGCUAUCGCUUUUGGAUGGACCCGCGGCGUAUUAGCUAGUUGGUGAGGUAAUGGCUCACCAAGGCGAUGAUACGUAGCCGAACUGAGAGGUUGAUCGGCCACAUUGGGACUGAGACACGGCCCAAACUCCUACGGGAGGCAGCAGUAGGGAAUCUUCCACAAUGGACGCAAGUCUGAUGGAGCAACGCCGCGUGAGUGAAGAAGGCUUUCGGGUCGUAAAACUCUGUUGUUGGAGAAGAAUGGUCGGCAGAGUAACUGUUGUCGGCGUGACGGUAUCCAACCAGAAAGCCACGGCUAACUACGUGCCAGCAGCCGCGGUAAUACGUAGGUGGCAAGCGUUAUCCGGAUUUAUUGGGCGUAAAGCGAGCGCAGGCGGUUUUUUAAGUCUGAUGUGAAAAGCCCUCGGCUUAACCGAGGAAGCGCAUCGGAAACUGGGAAACUUGAGUGCCCAAGAAGACAGUGGAACUCCAUGUGUAACGCUGAGAUGCG
rnacentral:rRNA from 1 species